CUCGUAGGCGGUUCGUCGCGUCCGGUGUGAAAGUCCAUCGCUUAACGGUGGAUCCGCGCCGGGUACGGGCGGGCUUGAGUGCGGUAGGGGAGACUGGAAUUCCCGGUGUAACGGUGGAAUGUGUAGAUAUCGGGAAGAACACCAAUGGCGAAGGCAGGUCUCUGGGCCGUCACUGACGCUGAGGAGCGAAAGCGUGGGGAGCGACA
rnacentral:rRNA from 1 species